UACGUAGGGUGCGAGCGUUAAUCGGAAUUACUGGGCGUAAAGCGUGCGCAGGCGGUUUUGUAAGUCAGAUGUGAAAUCCCCGGGCUCAACCUGGGAAUGGCAUUUGGGACUGCAAGGCUUGAGUGCGGCAGAGGAGACUGGAAUUCCUGGUGUAGCAGUGAAAUGCGUAGAUAUCAGGAGGAAUACCGAUGGCGAAGGCAGGUCUCUGGGCAGUAACUGACGCUGAGGAGCGAAAGCGUGGGGAGCGAACAGG
rnacentral:rRNA from 1 species